UAAUGACUCUCGGCAACGGAUA
rnacentral:rRNA from 1 species